rnacentral:RNase_P_RNA from 1 species
UCAGGUGGCUGGAUGGCCGCGGCUGGACGGGCAACCGCACAGUCGAGGAAAGUCCGGGCUCCACGGAAACACGGUGCCGGAUAACGUCCGGCGGGGGCGACCCCAGGGACAGUGCCACAGAGAAGAGACCGCCCACCGGGGUUCGCCCCGAGGCAAGGGUGAAACGGUGCGGUAAGAGCGCACCGCGCGACCGGCAACGGAAGCGGCAUGGCAAACCCCACCGGGAGCAAGACCAAAUAGGGGCGGCACGCCGGGCAACCGGCACGCGGGUUUCCGCGCCGUCGCCCGGGUCGGUCGCGUGAGGCGUCUGGCGACAGACGUCCCAGAGGAAUGGCCAUCCAGCGCCCUCGGGCGCGGACAGAACCCGGCUUACAGGCCACCUGACCCG